UGAAAUUUCAUUUUGAUUUUCUGGCUGAAGACUAUUCUGUUUGUAUACGUCCACCACAGUUACUUUAUCCCUUCAUCUGUGGAUGGGCAGUCUCGCUCUGUUGCCCAGGCUGGAGUGCAGUGGCACGAUCUCGGCUCACUGCAAGCUCCGCUUCCUGGGUUCACACCAUUCUCCUGCCUCAGCCUCCUGAGUAGCUGGGAUUACAGGCACCUGCCACCACGCCCAGAAUGAAACGUAUAUGGAAAUGUUCUGUGCAAUAAAAACAGCAGUGGUAACAGGAGAUGUAGGCUCUGAGUGUCUCACUGGAGACUGAAGUCCACAGAUAUGCAACAAAGCCUUUGUCUCCCUGAUGUUUUUGCCUGCUGCUGGUCAUGUGCUUUCACACAUCAAGAGAAGACGUUUAAUAUUUGA
rnacentral:lncRNA from 1 species